GACGAACGCUGGCGGCGUGCUUAACACAUGCAAGUCGAACGGAAAGGCCCUGCUUUUGUGGGGUGCUCGAGUGGCGAACGGGUGAGUAACACGUGAGUAACCUGCCCUUGACUUUGGGAUAACUUCAGGAAACUGGGGCUAAUACCGGAUAGGAGCUCCUGCUGCAUGGUGGGGGUUGGAAAGUUUCGGCGGUUGGGGAUGGACUCGCGGCUUAUCAGCUUGUUGGUGGGGUAGUGGCUUACCAAGGCUUUGACGGGUAGCCGGCCUGUGAGGGUGGCCGGCCACAUUGGGACUGAGAUACGGCCCAGACUCCUACGGGAGGCAGCAGUGGGGAAUAUUGCACAAUGGGCGGAAGCCUGAUGCAGCAACGCCGCGUGCGGGAUGACGGCCUUCGGGUUGUAAACCGCUUUCGCCUGUGACGAAGCGUGAGUGACGGUAAUGGGUAAAGAGGCACCGGCUAACUACGUG
rnacentral:rRNA from 1 species